GAGCGGUAUUUGUUCUUCGGAACAGAGAGAGCGGCGUACGGGUGCGGAACACGUGUGCAACCUACCUUUAUCAGGGGGAUAGCCUUUCGAAAGGAAGAUUAAUACCCCAUAAUAUAUUGAUUGGCAUCAGUUAAUAUUGAAAACUCCGGUGGAUAGAGAUGGGCACGCGCAAGAUUAGAUAGUUGGUAGGGUAACGGCCUACCAAGUCAGUGAUCUUUAGGGGGCCUGAGAGGGUGAUCCCCCACACUGGUACUGAGACACGGACCAGACUCCUACGGGAGGCAGCAGUGAGGAAUAUUGGACAAUGGGUGAGAGCCUGAUCCAGCCAUCCCGCGUGAAGGACGACGGCCCUAUGGGUUGUAAACUUCUUUUGUAUAGGGAUAAACCUACUCUCGUGAGAGUAGCUGAAGGUACUAUACGAAUAAGCACCGGCUAACUCCGUGCCAGCAGCCGCGGUAAUACGGAGGGUGCAAGCGUUAUCCGGAUUUAUUGGGUUUAAAGGGUCCGUAGGCGGAUCUGUAAGUCAGUGGUGAAAUCUCAUAGCUUAACUAUGAAACUGCCAUUGAUACUGCAGGUCUUGAGUAAAGUAGAAGUGGCUGGAAUAAGUAGUGUAGCGGUGAAAUGCAUAGAUAUUACUUAGAACACCAAUUGCGAAGGCAGGUCACUAUGUUUUAACUGACGCUGAUGGACGAAAGCGUGGGGAGCGAACAGGAUUAGAUACCCUGGUAGUCCACGCCGUAAACGAUGCUAACUCGUUUUUGGGCUUUAGGGUUCAGAGACUAAGCGAAAGUGAUAAGUUAGCCACCUGGGGAGUACGUUCGCAAGAAUGAAACUCAAAGGAAUUGACGGGGGCCCGCACAAGCGGUGGAUUAUGUGGUUUAAUUCGAUGAUACGCGAGGAACCUUACCAAGGCUUAAAUGGGAAUUGACAGGUUUAGAAAUAGACUUUUCUUCGGACAAUUUUCAAGGUGCUGCAUGGUUGUCGUCAGCUCGUGCCGUGAGGUGUUAGGUUAAGUCCUGCAACGAGCGCAACCCCUGUCACUAGUUGCCAUCAUUCAGUUGGGGACUCUAGUGAGACUGCCUACGCAAGUAGAGAGGAAGGUGGGGAUGACGUCAAAUCAUCACGGCCCUUACGCCUUGGGCCACACACGUAAUACAAUGGCCAGUACAGAGGGCAGCUACCAGGCGACUGGAUGCGAAUCUCGAAAGCUGGUCUCAGUUCGGAUUGGAGUCUGCAACUCGACUCUAUGAAGCUGGAAUCGCUAGUAAUCGCAUAUCAGCCAUGAUGCGGUGAAUACGUUCCCGGGCCUUGUACACACCGCCCGUCAAGCCAUGGAAGUUUGGGGUACCUGAAGUCGGUGACC
rnacentral:rRNA from 1 species